GAUGAACGCUGGCGGCAGGCUUAACACAUGCAAGUCGAGCGAGCGGCGGACGGGUGAGUAAUGUCUGGGAAACUGCCCGAUGGAGGGGGCUAACUACUGGAAACGGUAGCUAAUACCGCAUACCAUCAGCUGUGCCCAGAUGGGAUUAGCUAGUAGGUGGGGUAAUGGCUCACCUAGGAGACGAUCCCUAGCUGGUCUGAGAGGAUGACCAGGCACACUGGAACUGAGACACGGUCCAGACUCCUACGGGAGGCAGCAGUGGGGAAGAUUGCACAAUGGGCGCAAGCCAGAUACAGCCAUGCCGCGUGUGUGAAGAAGGCCUUCGGGUUGUAAAGCACUUUCAGCGAGGAGGCGGUACUCGCAGAAGAAGCACCGGCUAACACCGUGCAAGCCGCCGCGGUAAUUA
rnacentral:rRNA from 1 species